AUAUACCAGGGGAAAGUGAGAGAUUGCUAAGAUUUUAUUUUCAUUUGUUUUUAUUUCAGCUUCCUGAAGUCACUUGACACUGGAAAAGACUCACCACCAUUCACUGGAAAAAAAAAAAUAAAUUAAAAAUGUUCCUCUCAAUGAAGUUCCCAACAAGCAGAAUUCAGAAGGUGGCAUAACUUAGACGCCUCUGUCAUAUACCCACUGAUGAUGAUCACUUCAAUUCCAAGAUAACAUGUUUUAAUUAUGGAAAAUGUAGAGGGCAAAGGUGACUACUCAUUGGCUUUGAAGCAGUAGAAUUUAACCUCUCACUAAAACUGAAGAUGCUGGCUUCAUCGUGUUCUUGGGUGAGUGAAAGCCCUCCAAUGCAAGUACAUGCAAAGAAUGAAAGAGCAGAUCACUUACUUGUGAAGGAAUUUAUUAAGUUUACCUCAGUUUCAUAUGAUUAAGCUGUGUAAAAAAUUCCUAAGGACAUAUACUACAGCACAUGUGCUGCAAGAAAAAGGGUGAAGCCAUUUCCAUCAUUAUUACCUAUGAAUCACAUUAAUUCCCAUGCAAAUUUGUCAUCUGAGACUUAUUGGUCCCUCUUCUGUAGGGUUUGAGAAUGCAAGACAUUUUAUAACACCAUAGUAAGAACCACAUUUACUGAACCCUGUAGAAAUCUCAACAUAGGGUUUUGGGAUGGGAGUUUGAAGCUGACUGUGAAUGCAGAGUUAUCACUCAGAUAACUUGUGUCUGCCAAGUAGUAGCAAGAGUGAGAUGCUCAGUGAGGGAAGGUAACAGUGACUGCAGUGUUAGCAGGGGCAGCAACCACACCACCAAGGACACAGGCCUGCAGGACCCUGAUCAUUGGCAAUCACACACAGUACAUUAGGGGCAAAUUGUGGAUGAGACACACCCUACACUGAUGUAUCCCAGCCACUAGUUAACAUUACUUGUGGAAACCCUCUGGCUUAAAAAACAGCAGCAUGACCCAAAAUGAAGCAUACUCAACUCAAUAUGGCCAGCAGCUGACUGAAAAUGAACACUGAUAUGCUGCAGUCUGACCUUUGGUGUUGCAUGGUCAACGUAAGCCAAUCUGGAGAUGUUUCAGUUUGGAAAUCUGAGAAGUUGGUAGGACAAAGAUAACAUGGAAAUGCAGCUAUUCUGAUGUCACAGAUAUAUUAUCUGGAAGAAGUUUAGAAAGAUAAUCUCCUUUUUUAGUUUGGUGAUUCUGAGCCAUUCUGUAGCUUGAUGGUCUCCAAUAUUCAUCUCAGCUAUCCAGAUAAAUAAAAUAAUAACUUUCAAAAUCUUACUAAAAUAC
rnacentral:lncRNA from 1 species